rnacentral:rRNA from 1 species
GACGAACGCUGGCGGCGUGCUUAACACAUGCAAGUCGAGCGGUAAGGCCCUUUCGGGGGUACACGAGCGGCGAACGGGUGAGUAACACGUGGGUGACCUGCCCUCAGCUCUGGGAUAAGCCUGGGAAACCGGGUCUAAUACUGGAUAUGACUCCAUGACGCAUGUUGUGGGGUGGAAAGCCUUGUGCGGCUGAGGAUGGGCCCGCGGCCUAUCAGCUUGUUGGUGGGGUGANGGCCUACCAAGGCGACGACGGGUAGCCGGCCUGAGAGGGCGACCGGCACACUGGGACUGAGACACGGCCAGACUCCUACGGGAGGCAGCAGGUGGGGAAUCUUGCGCAAGUGGGCGAAAGCCUGACGCAGCGACGCCGCGUGAAGGAUGAAAUCCCUCGGGAAUGUAAACUUCGCAAGAACGGGAAGAAUAAGCGAAAGUUAAUAUCUUUCGUGAUGACGGUACCGUUUGUAAGCUCCGGCUAACUCCGUGCCAGCAGCCGCCG